rnacentral:lncRNA from 12 species
GACAUGUCUUUAUUUUCUUCUGUCCCACUAUCUUUACUUAUUUUAAUUUUAAUUUUAUUUACUUAUGUUUUAAAAAGAUUUUAUUUAUUUGAGAGAGAGCAAACGAGUGAGCAUGAGCAGAGGUGAUGGGCAGAGGGAGAAGGAGAAGCGGACUCCCCACUGAGCAGCGAGCCAAAUGUGGGGCUCGAUCCCAGGACCCUGAGAUCAUGACCUGAGCCAAAGGCAGACGCUUAACCGACUGAGCCACCUGGGCAUCCCUCUUUACUUAUUUUUAAAUAUUGAAGUUUAGCAGACACAGUAUUAUACUAGUUUUAGGAAGAGUACAUCCUUUUAUCUUUUCAAAGUCCAAUAAAAAUUGGACUAAAUGUAAGAAUGAGUGCUGGGUGACCCGGGGCAACCCAAUUCCCUUGAAGCACCUCACUCCCCCUCUUUUCUGCACCUGCCCGUUGAAACAUUUCACCUAUAUCUUGACUGCAGCCAAGUGGAACAUUCUCUUGACAGAAUGGGAUUGCCUGUGGCAAUUUCCUCAAUGCAACGUUCAGGAUUACUUCAAGUUUUCACAUUUUAUGAGGUCCCCCCUCUUCCAAAAUUGCUUUUCUCUGGCUUUUGCUAAUGGUCCCAUACCUUGAUGCCAGAGAGAGAACCUCAAUGGAUGAAAAUGGAAGUUCAGCAAAGGUUGCCUCUAAGUGAACUCCAAUGCUGGGUGCGGGAGGACGGCGUGACGGGACAUUUUCCCUUCGAUUGGUAGGGGCGUCAAAAUACCUCGUAAGUUUCUUGCCACUUAAUUGAAACAUAUUCAUUGUGCCCCCAACAUGAAAUAAAAUCUUUUAAAGGUCUCUGCCAAAUGAAAGAUUUAUAAGCUGGUUGGCUAUUAAUUUAUUCACCGAACAUGAGUGUCUGUCUCCUUUAGUCUAAGAGCAAAUUAAGGACAGGGUUUCAUGUCCCAUUCAUCUCCACCUGUCUGGCACCUUCCCAAGAAUUUUUAUUGUCUCCAAAUAGUAGGUGCUCAAUAAAGGUUCACCUGGUGUUGAAUGAUGCAUCUUUUCCACCUGGGAUCUCUUCUGUUCUGCAGCAUCAGGACCCUAGCAACAACCGCAUCUCCAUGGCAACAACUCUAGGGCUCUGUGUCUUUCCUGUUUCCUGUGCCAAGGUGGAAUAUUCUGGAAUGUGUCAGCUUGACUCUGGAACGUCUUCUAAGCACACCUGGGCGAAGGGACUCGAGCCUGCUUCAGAUACGUCCUCCUGGGAUCCCAGCCUGCCAGGGAUGUCUUGCUGCCUGCCGGAUGAACAGUGACCUGAACUGAGCGGUUCUCUUGUGCGCACUCAGGAAGCUUCAGUGUAGUCACACGUCUCAGACGAGGGACAGCCUGGAUCCUUGAAUGACGCCUGAGGAACCCUGUUCCUUGCCCAACCCAGAAGGCAUUCACUCCAGCUGAAUAAAGUCAUUAGAUGGGUCA